rnacentral:rRNA from 1 species
GUCUUUUAGAUUUUAAUUUAAGGUUUGUCCUGCUCUAUGAUUUAUUAUUAAAUGGCUGCAAUAAUUUAAUUGUACAAAGGUAGCAUAAUCAUUUGUUUUUUAAUUGGGAACUAGUAUGAAUGGUUUGAUGAAAAAUUUUUUUUAUUAAUUUAAUUUAUUGAAUUUUAUUUUAAGUAAAAAAUCUUAAAUUUUUUUAUGGGACGAGAAGACCCUUUAGAAUUUUAUUUUAAUUUAUUUAUUUAUAUUUGAUUAAUUUUUAUUUAUUUAAUUUUAGGAUUUGAUUGGGGUGAUUGGGGAAUUUUUUUAACUUUUUUUUUAUUUUUCAUUAAUUUUUGUUUUUUUGAUCCAUUUUAUUGAUUUUAAGAUUAAAUUACCUAAGGGAUAACAGCGUUAUUUAAUUGGAGAGUUCUUAUUGAUAAUUAAGUUUGCGA